rnacentral:lncRNA from 1 species
UCUGUCGUGGUGUGUCUCAUCGGCCGGCUCGUGCGAUACCACGCGCGAACGCUCUCUUUUUCUCUCCCCCUCUCUCGCUCUCUCUCUCUCUCUCUCUCUUUUUCUCUCGCUUCCCUUUCGUUUAGUUUCUUUUUUUGUUUUCCGUACCAACGUGAGGAAUAUAGUUUUUGUCACGGAUCGCGAGAGAAUUUUUCUUUUAGAUCGAUCGUAAUAUCAAAAAAUAACGUCGAAUUUUUAUUAGGAGGAGGGAGAAGGGGGAUUAAUAUAUUUAUAUAUAUAUAUAAAGGA